rnacentral:lncRNA from 10 species
CCGGGGAACAUAAAAAUGACAGAGCCCUGGGAGGUUUGAGUGGGGCAUCUACAGCUUCUCCUACAAGCUCCUAAUAGGAAUAAAUGCCAUAAAAUGACAGUAAAAGAAUUAAAAUGCUAUAAACCUACAGCAAAAAAAGAAGAGGGAAGAGAUGACAAGAAUGAGCAGGAGAGUUCAGUGAAUUGCUGAAGAUGGAAAGUGAGUUGGAUAGUGAUUAACAGCCCCACUGAAAGGAGAAAGCACAACCCGAAGUAACUGCAGUGAGUGAGCAACAAGCAGCCUCAUGCCAGAGAAUCCCUAAGAGGUUCAGAACUUGCAGAAAGGCACAGAGGAAGACGAGUGGUCAAGCGCAAGGUCAAAAGCGCAGGGACUGGUUUAAGGUCUGAUUGUAGCAUCCUUAAAUCACCAUGCCCAUACCCUCACAGCCAAGACAUUUCUCCUCCUCUCUAAG